UACAGAGGGUGCGAGCGUUGUCCGGAAUCACUGGGCGUAAAGGGCGCGUAGGCGGUCCGGUAAGCGUGCGGUGAUAGCCCGGGGCUCAACCCCGGGUCGGCCGUGCGAACUGCGGGACUGGAGCUUGUCAGAGGCAGGCGGAAUUCCGGGUGUAGCGGUGGAAUGCGUAGAGAUCCGGAAGAACACCGGUGGCGAAGGCGGCCUGCUGGGACGGUACUGACGCUGAGGCGCGAAAGCGUGGGGAGCAAACAGG
rnacentral:rRNA from 1 species